AGAGUUUGAUCCUGGCUCAGAAUCAACGCUGGCGGCGUGCCUAACACAUGCAAGUCGAACGCGAAAGUCCCGCAAGGGAUCAGUAGAGUGGCAAACGGGUGAGUAACGCGUGGGUGACCUGCCUUCGAGCGGGGGAUAACGUUCCGAAAGGGACGCUAAUACCGCAUGACAUCCUGCCUUUGAAGAGGUGGAGAUCAAAGCUGGGGCUCGCAAGACCUAGCACUCGAAGAGGGGCCCGCGUCUGAUUAGCUAGUUGGUGGGGUAACGGCUCACCAAGGCAACGAUCAGUAUCCGGCCUGAGAGGGCGGACGGACACACUGGGACUGAGACACGGCCCAGACUCCUACGGGAGGCAGCAGUGGGGAAUGUUCGCAAUGGGCGCAAGCCUGACGACGCAACGCCGCGUGGAGGAUGAAGAUCUUCGGGUCGUAAACUCCUUUCGAUCGAGACGAACGGCUUCCGGGUAAACAAUCCGGGAGAUUGACGGUACCGAGAGAAGAAGCCCCGGCUAACUCCGUGCCAGCAGCCGCGGUAAUACGGGGGGGGCAAGCGUUGUUCGGAAUUACUGGGCGUAAAGGGCUCGUAGGUGGCCAACUAAGUCAGACGUGAAAUCCCUCGGCUUAACCGGGGAACUGCAUCUGAUACUGGAUGGCUUGAGAUUGGGAGAGGGAUGCGGAAUUCCAGGUGUAGCGGUGAAAUGCGUAGAUAUCUGGAGGAACACCGGUGGCGAAGGCGGCAUCCUGGACCAACACUGACGCUGAGGAGCGAAAGCCAGGGGAGCAAACGGGAUUAGAUACCCCGGUAGUCCUGGCCCUAAACGAUGAAUGCUUGGUGUGGCGGGUAUCGAUCCCUGCCGUGCCGAAGCUAACGCAUUAAGCAUUCCGCCUGUGGAGUACGGUCGCAAUGCUGAAACUCAAAGGAAUUGACGG
rnacentral:rRNA from 1 species